rnacentral:rRNA from 1 species
AACGAACGCUGGCGGCAGGCUUAACACAUGCAAGUCGAGCGCCCCGCAAGGGGAGCGGCAGACGGGUGAGUAACGCGUGGGAACGUACCCUUUGCUACGGAAUAGCUCCGGGAAACUGGAAUUAAUACCGUAUGUGCCCUACGGGGGAAAGAUUUAUCGGCAAAGGAUCGGCCCGCGUUGGAUUAGCUAGUUGGUGGGGUAAUGGCCUACCAAGGCGACGAUCCAUAGCUGGUCUGAGAGGAUGAUCAGCCACAUUGGGACUGAGACACGGCCCAAACUCCUACGGGAGGCAGCAGUGGGGAAUAUUGGACAAUGGGCGCAAGCAUGAUCCAGCCAUGCCGCGUGAGUGAUGAAGGCCUUAGGGUUGUAAAGCUCUUUCACCGGAGAAGAUAAUGACGGUAUCCGGAGAAGAAGCCCCGGCUAACUUCGUGCCAGCCGCCGCGGUAACAC